rnacentral:rRNA from 1 species
UACGGAGGGGGCUAGCGUUGUUCGGAAUUACUGGGCGUAAAGCGCACGUAGGCGGACUGUUAAGUCGGGGGUGAAAUCCUGGGGCUCAACCUCAGAAUUGCCUCCGAUACUGGCAGUCUCGAGUGCGGGAGAGGUGAGUGGAAUUCCCAGUGUAGAGGUGAAAUUCGUAGAUAUUGGGAAGAACACCAGUGGCGAAGGCGGCUCACUGGUCCGAUACUGACGCUGAGGUGCGAAAGCGUGGGGAGCAAACAGG